CAGCCCUAAACGAUGCGCGUUAGGUGUAUCGGUGACCACGAGUCACCGAGGUGCCGAAGGGAAACCGUGAAACGUGCCGCCUGGGAAGUACGGUCGCAAGGCUGAACUUAAAGGAUUGGCGGGGGAGCACCACAACGGGUGGAGCCUGCGGUUUAAUUGGACUCAACGCCGGGAAGCUCACCGGAUAAGACAGCGGAAUGAUUGCCGGGCUGAAGACCCUGCAUGACCAGCUGAGAGGUGGUGCAUGGUGUAGUCGU
rnacentral:rRNA from 1 species